rnacentral:rRNA from 1 species
AUACGUAGGGACCGAGCGUUAUCCGGAAUUACUGGGCGUAAAGGGCACGCAGGCGGUCAUGCAAGUCAGCUGUUAAAUGUGGGGGCUUAACCCUUACGAGCGGUUGAAACUGUGUGACUUGAGUACUGGAGAGGUAAGCGGAAUUCCCGGUGUAGCGGUGAAAUGCGUAGAUAUCGGGAAGAACACCAGUGGCGAAGGCGGCUUACUGGCCAGCAACUGACGCUGAGGUGCGAAAGCCAGGGUAGCGAACCGGAUUAGAUACCCGGGUAGUCCUGGCCGUAAACGCUGAAUGCUAGGUGUGGGUGGGUAGAACCAUCCGUGCCGGAGUUAACGCGAUAAGCAUUCCGCCUGGGGAUUACGACCGCAAGGUUGAA